rnacentral:rRNA from 1 species
AUGAACGCUGGCGGCGUGCCUAACACAUGCAAGUCGAGCGAUUUACUUCUGUAAAGAGCGGCGGACGGGUGAGUAACGCGUGGGUAACCUGCCCUGUACACACGGAUAACAUACCGAAAGGUAUGCUAAUACGAGAUAAUAUACUUUUAUCGCAUGGUAGAAGUAUCAAAGCUUUUGCGGUACAGGAUGGACCCGCGUCUGAUUAGCUAGUUGGUAAGGUAACGGCUUACCAAGGCGACGAUCAGUAGCCGACCUGAGAGGGUGAUCGGCCACAUUGGAACUGAGACACGGUCCAAACUCCUACGGGAGGCAGCAGUGGGGAAUAUUGCACAAUGGGCGAAAGCCUGAUGCAGCAACGCCGCGUGAGCGAUGAAGGCCUUCGGGUCGUAAAGCUCUGUCCUCAAGGAAGAUAAUGACGGUACUUGAGGAGGAAGCCCCGGCUAACUACGUGCCAGCAGCCGCGGUAAUACGUAGGGGGCUAGCGUUAUCCGGAAUUACUGGGCGUAAAGGGUGCGUAGGUGGUUUCUUAAGUCAGAGGUGAAAGGCUACGGCUCAACCGUAGUAAGCCUUUGAAACUGGGAAACUUGAGUGCAGGAGAGGAGAGUGGAAUUCCUAGUGUAGCGGUGAAAUGCGUAGAUAUUAGGAGGAACACCAGUUGCGAAGGCGGCUCUCUGGACUGUAACUGACACUGAGGCACGAAAGCGUGGGAAGCAAACAGGAUUAGAUACCCUGGUAGUCCACGCCGUAAACGAUGAGUACUAGCUGUCGGAGGUUACCCCCUUCGGUGGCGCAGCUAACGCAUUAAGUACUCCGCCUGGGAAGUACGCUCGCAAGAGUGAAACUCAAAGGAAUUGACGGGGACCCGCACAAGUAGCGGAGCAUGUGGUUUAAUUCGAAGCAACGCGAAGAACCUUACCUAAGCUUGACAUCCUUUUGACCGAUGCCUAAUCGCAUCUUUCCCUUCGGGGACAGAAGUGACAGGUGGUGCAUGGUUGUCGUCAGCUCGUGUCGUGAGAUGUUGGGUUAAGUCCCGCAACGAGCGCAACCCUUGCCUUUAGUUGCCAGCAUUAAGUUGGGCACUCUAGAGGGACUGCCAGGGAUAACCUGGAGGAAGGUGGGGAUGACGUCAAAUCAUCAUGCCCCUUAUGCUUAGGGCUACACACGUGCUACAAUGGGUGGUACAGAGGGCAGCCAAGUCGUGAGGCGGAGCUAAUCCCUUAAAGCCAUUCUCAGUUCGGAUUGUAGGCUGAAACUCGCCUACAUGAAGCUGGAGUUACUAGUAAUCGCAGAUCAGAAUGCUGCGGUGAAUGCGUUCCCGGGUCUUGUACACACCGCCCGUCACACCACGGGAGUUGGGGGCGCCCGAAGCCGGAUUGCUAACCUUUUGGAAGCGUCCGUCGAAGGUGAAAUCAAUAACUGGGGUG